rnacentral:rRNA from 1 species
UACGUAGGGUGCAAGCGUUGUCCGGAAUUAUUGGGCGUAAAGAGCUCGUAGGCGGUUUGUUGCGUCGGCUGUGAAAUCCCGAGGCUCAACCUCGGGCCUGCAGUCGAUACGGGCAGACUAGAGUGAUGUAGGGGAGACUGGAAUUCCUGGUGUAGCGGUGAAAUGCGCAGAUAUCAGGAGGAACACCGAUGGCGAAGGCAGGUCUCUGGGCAUUAACUGACGCUGAGGAGCGAAAGCAUGGGGAGCGAACAGG